AUUGCCAAGUUAAAAACGCAUAAAUAUCCCAGUCCUAGCUUUAAGGGCUUUGUCCGCCUACUCUUUUUAUCUGGUCUGUACUCUUGGUCCUUUCUUCUUCCCCAAAGUUGAAAGGCUUACAAAAAUGGAAGUGAUAAUAGUAUCAUCUAAUCAAACAACACCUCCUACUGAGUAAAAGUGAAUACAACGGCUGUAAAUCAAAUACAAUAACUAAAUGGCAUUAUCGUAUAUUGAAUAUAACAAUUAUAAAUGAUAAUUAUGUAAAAUAUAUUGUUUUUCAGUACAAUGUGGCUAUUGCCAAGUUAAAAACGCAUAUAUAUCCCAGUCCUAGCUUUAAGGGCUUUGUCCGCCUACUCUUUUAUCUGGUCUGUACUGUUGGUCCUUUCUUCUUCCCCAAAGUUGAAAGGCUCACAAAAAUGGAAGUGAUAAUAGUAUCAUCUAAUCAAACAACACCUCCUCCUCUUCACCCGCAUGCAAAUCAACCACCCAUUCUCAAAAACUCGCUGUUUUUGGGGCGUCGAGAGCUUUGCUUCGAUAGCAUUUCCUCGGCCUGCUCUGCUGAUCCAAUUUCUUCUCCUCCAUCUACCUCCGCUUUCACUACUCCCAGGUUCGCACAUACCUAUCCUUUUGAUGUAGAAUACUCCCUACAUUUUUUACUGGACAGCGAGUUUAAUAAGCUAAUAAAAUUGUUUGUUAUUUGACAAAUUAGAUGAAUAAUAUGUAUAAUCGGUAUUAAGACUAUCAUGUAAUGCUGGUUGAACAAAAGAGAGCCGCAAUUCAGCUUGUUUAGAUGGUUGUUAUCUAUUCUAUUGUAAGUACUGUGUUAGUUUAAAUAUAACGUUUGUUUUGAUUGUUGCUUUAAUUUUAUUGUAUUGUAUGUUAAAUCCAUCGCUGAAAAGUCUUAUUCGUGUAAGAACUGAUUUAGUGUGAUGGCGUGUUGCUUUUUUUCUCGGUUUGUCUUUACUUAUUUAAUAAUUUUAUUUUAUUCUUUACCCUACAUUUUUUAUAGCAGCUCUAUUCCGUACCCUACAAUUUUUGUAAAUUUAUCAUUUGUUGAUGUGUGACAUUAUGUAAUGUCGAGAAGUGAUACAAUCUAUCCAAACAUUGUGUUUAUCUAAACGAUAAAGUGUGAUGUAAUAUAAUAUAAUACAAUACAUUAUGAAACAAUAUAUAACAACCAUCUAAACAAAGUUAGGGUCAUGCUUUUCCAUCUAUAUCAGUUUAAACUUAUGAGGUGGCUCAUUAAAAUUAAGCACUACUCAGUACUUGUAUUUGCACAUGAUUCCAUGAGCUUUUUUUUUUUUUUUGUCAUGGCUAAUGUCACAGGAGUGGUGGAUCUAAUGGCAAUUCGUUGAUUGAGAAACUACGAAAAAGCUUCCCUUUGGCCACACGGAGGAUGUUGUUAACAAGUUUUUUCAUGUAUUCAUGUUAUCAUCCUUCAAGGUACUUGUCAGGUUCGCACGUUCUUGCUGUUUGUUUCUUUUUCAUUUUUUUCACUUGUUGCCUUUGAAGGCUUUGCCUGCACUUGGAUUGUGUGUUGGACCUCACAAUUGCUGGAUUAAUCUGGCUUUUGUAGUCACAUAUUUCUUAGCAUGUUUAACCAAAUUAAUGCAUAUAUUUGGCAUUUUUCAGUUCCUUCAUUGUAUUCUAAAUUUCCUUUCCCGAGAAAGAUAUUGAUUGUAUGUGAGCUUCCCAAAACGUAGCUGGUAUCAAUACCAGAAAAUGGAGGAGUGAUAAUGGUAGGUUAGUAUAGCAGUCUAAUAGUGAUAAACCUUCUGAAACUAUUAAAAUGAAGCUUAAAUUGAGUGGAAUGAAUAUAGAGAAUUUGUAUAUUGAUUCCGUCCAACUAUAGGUAUAGUUGAUUGCUUAUAGCCUGGGAACCAAGCUGUCGUGACGCAACUGAGCUAGUCCUCUCCCCCUAGAGCAAACCCCUAUUUUUGUAUGGUCGGUUAUGGAAAAAAUGUGAAACUUCAUGUUGAGUGUACUUCCUCGAUCCGUUGUUAAGUUUUCGUUCUUUAUUUGGUUCUAACAUGCAAACUACUAUAUGAUAUACAGCAUUUGCUUUGGGGGAUCCGACUGUCACAGUUGAACAAGUAACACCUUCUACUUUUCCUUCUGCAGCACUUUUCCCUUCCGAGGUUCAGUAUCAUCACCUGUUCAGCUUAUUCUUUAUUGUUCUUGCUAUGUUCUGAUAUAUCGAUCACAUCAUCUGGUAUGUGUCUACUUUGCAGGAAAGAGUUGUGGAGCUCUUUGAAAAGAAUACUUAUGGUGUUGUCAACAUAUUUGAUGUAACCUUGAGACCUACACUUAAUGUUACUGGUAUGGUUGAGGUAAAUUUUAUAGACAUGUGCAAACAUUUACUUUUCCAUUUUCAGCAUUAUGCUAAUCAAACUUUUUGGUAAUUUAGCUUUGGCAAUAUCUUGAACGUAAAAUUUCUCAUGUCCACGGAUUUUCUGUCUUCAUCUGUAUGGUGCCUCAACCAACACAACUUUUGUGCCUCUGUAAAUAAUCUGUGUUUGAAAGCAGCUGCAUCAAUAUGUUUAAACAAUGGCAGAUUCCUGAAGGAAAUGGUUCGGGGGCGAUUUGGGACAAGGAAGGCCACAUUGUUACUAAUUACCAUGGUAAGAUCACUUCAAUACGGUACCUGAGUGCAUUAGUUAUUUUGUGUAAUAUACUCCAUUCAUCCCAAGAAUAUAUGGUUCCGGAGUAUGAGAGUCAAACUGCCUAAUUUUUGGUGCGAUGUUGGAAUCAAUUUUUCUUACAUUUAGGGGACUAAUAAAGGCGUCAUCUGAAAAAUAGAAUUGAAUUCUAUGAUCCAAAAACCACCUUCAAUGUAUUGGAUGGGCUGUGCAAUUCUUGGUUAAACAGUUCUCUUUAUAUGUCCAGUGAUUGGCAACUCCCUUUCUAAAAACCCAAGCCGUGGGCAAGUAGUUGCACGUGUUAAUAUUCUCGCUGCAGAUGGGUGAGUUAUAUUCUAUUUUAGCAUAUACUUAAUCGGGAUGAUGCAGCUUCAUCCUGCUCUCCAUGCUAUGUCCUCACUCUCAUUAUUUUAUUUUGUUUCUUUCUGAAUGGUACAAAAGAAUUUUGAGGGUAAAUUAAUUGGUGCAGACCGUGCGAAGGAUCUUGCUGUGUUGAAGGUAAGCAUUAUUUCCAGAAUCCUAUUUUUGUCAAAAACUGGAGAAUUCUUAAGUUCAUGGCUAUCUUUGCUUUAGUUAUGCCAUCCUGUUCUUAUUUCUCGCAUAGCUGUAGUUUGAAUGUUUGAUUGUCAUUUUUCCCCAUUGCAUUUUUCUUUUCCCUGUUGCCUCUCUCUUUAGCUGAGAAUCCAAGUGUCCCGCUUCAACUUCUAGGUCAUGAUAAAUUGUUUUCUUCUGCAAGCAAUUAAGGAUCUGCUGACACAUACUAAAUGCAUGAUAAUGGUUGCAAAUGAACCAAUUGUUGAUCUGAUUUGUUCAUUCUAUUUCUUCAUUGGUAUAACUAAGCGGCGGAAGGUUUAGCUUUAGUUUUACUGGACUUGUGAUUGUCAACGACAACAACAACAUACCAAGUGUGAUCCCACAAAUGGGGUCUGGAGAGGGUAGAGUGUACACAGACCUUAUCCUACCUUGGUGAGGUAGAUAGUUUGUUUCCAAUCGACUCCUGGCUCAAGAAAAACAUUUUAAAAAUAGGUUUGAAUAAUACAAGAGCGAAAGAUGCUCUAAUGACAUACUAAGAAAAUAGAAUUAUACUAUUGACAACAAACAUUGUAAGAUACCAAAGCAAGAGAAUCAAACGUAGUGAUAAAAUUGAAGAAUUAGAUACAACAACAACAUACCCAGUAUAUUCCCACAAAGUGGGGUGAAGAAUUAGAUAGUACUACAACUGGAAAGGAGAAUAGGGAGCAGAUAAGGUGCUCCAAGCUACAACUCUGCUCUUCCACAAGAAAGAGAGAAAACUCUGGACUACCUACUAACCUUCUACUCUAAUCCUUGAUAUCCAUGCUCUCCUAUCUAGGGUCAUUGUCUUCGGUCUACCUCUAUCUCUCCUUAAGUCUAUCACUUCCAACACCUCCUC
rnacentral:lncRNA from 1 species